GACGAACGCUGGCGGCGUGCUUAACACAUGCAAGUCGAACGGAAAGGCCCUGCUUUUGUGGGGUGCUCGAGUGGCGAACGGGUGAGUAACACGUGAGUAACCUGCCCUUGACUUUGGGAUAACUUCAGGAAACUGGGGCUAAUACCGGAUAGGAGCUCCUGCUGCAUGGUGGGGGUUGGAAAGUUUCGGCGGUUGGGGAUGGACUCGCGGCUUAUCAGCUUGUUGGUGGGGUAGUGGCUUACCAAGGCUUUGACGGGUAGCCGGCCUGAGAGGGGGACCGGCCACAUUGGGACUGAGAGACGGCGCAGACGCGUACGGGAGGCAGCAGUGGGGAAUAUUGCACAAUGGGCGGAAGCCUGAUGCAGCAACGCCGCGGGCGGGAUGACGGCCUUCGGGUUGUAAACCGCUUUCGCCUGUGACGAAGCGUGAGUGACGGUAAUGGGUAAAGAAGCACCGGCUAACUACGUG
rnacentral:rRNA from 1 species